CCGGGCGGGGGCGAGGGGGGCAGGCGCUGGGAACCGGGGCGGCCAGGAGAGGGGCGGCCCUGCGUGGCGAUCUGGGGUCUGGGGCCGGUGGAAGAGGGACCUGGACUCUAUUGUGCCCGCCUUCAAUUCGCUUAGUCAUUUACUUGCGUUUUCUUGUUGCCGAUUUACAGGAGAAAAAGCUGGCAUUGAACCAAGGACUGGAAUCAAUGAAUACAGAAACGAAGACACGCACACGUUAUGGUUUCUGCAACUUGGCAAUCAAAUCUUCAUGCCAGCCGGGUCCAGUUGCUUCAUGCUGUAUAGUGAGACAGGACUGCGCGAUGUGAGUGAUUUGUUGAAGUUUACCAGCUGUGUUCUCAAACCCACAAGGAAGAAUGAUGGGUCUUAUAUAUUACUUAGGAAGAGAUGAAUACAGAAACGUACCAGACCUAUGUUACAGAGGCUGGUUACACCAAUCAUCUGCCCUUAAAAUGGAGUUUAAUCUAAUUUGAGAUGAGUAACAGAUAUGCCAAAUAUUAGAAACAUGUAGCUAUCUAAAGAAAAAUGAGAAGCUGGAAAGACCUGGAGGAAGUGAGUCUGACCUGAAGUCUGAUACAUGAAUAAGUAGUAACUAGGUGAAGGAAAAGGAUUGGGAAAAGUCUGGAGGCCAGAGCCUUGCGCAGUGUCACCCUGGCAUGAAAACCAAGGCAGGUGAAAUAGUUGUGAAUGGGGACAUGGCCAGAUUUCUGUUACGGAGUCCCUGUUCGGGUUCACUGUGGAGGAGUGAAAGGAAAGGAGGAGUGGAUUUGGAAAGGGCAGUCUCAGAUAGGGAGGUGGAGUAUGGCCCUGAUGUGUGCAGGAUUUGUGUUAGGUGUUUUACAUACGUGUGUGUGUGUGUGUGUGUGUGUGUGAGAGAGAGAGAGAGAGAGCGCUUGAGGUCACACCACAGCUCUGUGAUAUAGUUACUGUUUUUAUUGCAGCUCUACAGGUAAGGAAUCUAAAGCAGGAAAUGAUGGUUAGUUAACUUGUAGGUCACGUGUGUAGAAGGUGGCACAGUGGAACAUGCUAACUCCAGAGUCCCGUUCUUUAUCUCUAGACUAUACAGAAAACUUUGUGAUCAUGGGAUGGGUUGAAUUGUGUUCUGACUCUGUGGUACCUGUGGCUGCUACCUUAUUUAGAAAUGCCGCCUUCGAAAGUUUAUAAUUACAUUGAGCUCUUCAUAACUGGAUUGGGUGAUGGCCUAUCUAAUCAUCAGUGUCCUUACAAGGAGAGCGAGCUACAGAGGCAAACAGACACGCACUUCAGGAAGAAGAGAGUGGGACCACAGAGGCAGAGGUUGGAGUGGCUCGGCUUCAAGCCAAGGAACCCAGGAGCUCCAGCAGCUCCCAGACAGCUGUUCCUGGAAGUGUGGGCAGGAUUACCCAUCAGUCGCCAGAGGAGUAGGCUCUGCUGGAUUCUGGCCUCUAAAACUGUGGGAAAGUGAUUUCUGUGGUGUGAGGCAUUAGCUCCUGUUGCUUUGUUCAGGCAGCCCUAGAUUCAGACCAGAAAGCAAGAUAGUGUGUUGGAGAGGCUUGAAAUGUUAAGGCCAAACUGAGCUAUAAAAAUGAAAAAUGAACACUGCGGGCUAGAGAGAUGGCUCAGCGGUUAAGAGCACUGACUGCUCUUCCAGAGGUCCUGAGUUCAAUUCCCAGCAACCACAUGGUGGCUCACAACCAUCUGUAAUGGAAUCUGAUGCCCUCUUCUGGUGUGUCUGAAAACAGCUACAGUGUACUCGUCAUAUAUAUAAAAUAAAUAAAAAAUCUUUAAAAAAAUAAAAUCUUAGUGAGACCCUGUCACAGAAAGCCAAAGGAAGGCUAGACAUAAGCCUAGACAUAAGUAGAGUGUUUGCCUCUCGUGCAUAAGCCCUAGGUUUAUUUAGUCCCUGCGACCCACAGCCACAUAUAAAGAACGUGUUAGACUCUGGCAGUGAGGGAGAAAAGAUAAAGCCAAAAACUUCUCCUGGUUUUCUGGUUUAAGCCACUGAGUGAAAUACCUAUAGGUGUUAGGAAAAACUUGGAGGAGAAUCGGAUGACGGUAGUAGAUCAGAAAGUAAACCGAUCUUGAAAUAAGUCUGGACAUACCAUAUCCGCUUUGGGAUUUCUGCACAUCUUUGGGAUGUGCAAAUAGAUGUAGAACAGUUAAUAGUUGUUUUUAGUACAGAUAGUGAAUGAAGCCGUGUGAGGCGAUAAAAUUACUAGAAAAGGGGGGCUGGGGACAUGAGUACGUGGUUAAGAGCACUUGUUGCUCUAGCAGAGCACCUAGAUGCGGUUCCCAGCACCCACGUGAUGGGUCACAGCCACCUCUACUCCAGUUCCAGGGAUUCCUGCAUUCUCUUCUGAGAUCUGCAGGCACUGCGCACAGGUCCAGGGAGGCAAAUAGAGUGCGAGCAAAAGGGAGCACACAGAACUGAUUCCCGGGACUACAGAUCUCCUCUACUGUGUAAUGUUGAGUGAGGGUAGAACAGCUGGCGGGAAAACAUAACAGACCAAUCAGAAGACCUAGACAGUGGAGUUUCAUUAAAAUGACAGUUUUGAGCUGGGCAGUUGUGGCGCAUGCACAGAAAGACACAGAAAGAAUUGGUGCCGGGUUUGGUUGUGGUUUGGUCCUGUCAGGGAAUGAUUGUCAGCUGAAGGUGGAGCUCAGUUGGUAGAGACAGUGUCUGGGAUGCAGAAAGCCCUUACAUAAAACUGGUCACUGUAGCAUGUUCCUACAACCCAGCACUUGCUGAAGGCAGAGGGUCAGAGGUCACGGUCAUCCUCAGCUGCAUAGGGGGAUGGAGGCUGGCUUUGGAGACCCUGUCUCAGGAACAACAGAAACCAAGCAAAAGGACUCCUCCCACCCCCAUCCCAACCAAAAAGAUAUUUCCAAAAGGGAAUAAAUAAUGACUGUAUAAUAACAUGAAUUAUACAGAAUGGCAGGUUUGAAGGAAUAAUUGAGUCUUGACCUAUCAUACCAAACACCCAAGCCUGUUGGAAGAGCACAGAGGAUCUAAGUGAGAAUGGGGAAGUGCACCGGGCCAGCUGGUACGAAGCCGAGCAGUCCUCUGAGGGGGAAGUGAGGGUUAUAGGAAAGAAGACUCAGAGACAUAGGUUAGAAAUCGGGAGGCCUAGCCAGGCAGUAAGUACUGCGGCAGCCCCAAGUUUAAUUCUCUUAGGCUUUAUUUUUAUUUUAUUUUAUUUUAUAUUUUUGAGACAGAGUUUCUCUGUGUAGCCCUGGCUGUCCUGGAACUCACUCUGUAGACCAAUCUGGCCUCAAACUCAGAAAUCCGCCUGCCUCUUCCCGAGUGCUGGAAUAAAGGCAUGCGCCACCACCGCCCAGCCUCUCUUAGGCUUUAUAUACUUUACAGUAUCUCGGGAAACAAAGUCACAAGCCAGCAGAGCCAAUGGCUGAUGUACAUUAGAUUUCUGUACCCAUCCGGGGCCCUCCCUAUUCCUCCAUGUUGCUUCCUCCAAGAUUAACAGAACAUUCAGCCCCUUGCCCUGAGCUUCAAGUGUAUCCCCUCUUACCGGUCCAUGCCUCAGCAGGCCAGGAAAUCUGCUAGUAGACGCUGGCCUGACUUGACUCUGCCUGACAACCAGGCUUUCACAGAAUCAGGCAAAAUGGCUCCUGACAGGGAAGCCAGGCUUCUGAAAAAAAACCCACAAACUUUCCCUUAGAGAGCAUACCAAGACACAUUAUAUAUACUUAGGUGAUUAUUUUAAAAUGUGAAAAAAUGGGACUGGAGAGAUGGCUCAGCAGUUAAGAGCACUGGCUGCUCUUCCAGAUGACCCAGAUUCAACUCUGACCACCUACAUGGUGCUCACAAACACCCAAGACGCCAGUUCCGAGAGAUCAAGCCUCCGAAGUCACCAGACACACAUGUGUUACUUGGACAUACAGACGAAAUAUCCUUAUGCAUGAAAGUUUUGUUUUGUUUUUAAGGUGGAAAAACCUUUCUUUGAAGCCAGGGCCUCGUGCGCAUGAGGCCUAUGUCUCCCACUGAACCGCACCAGGUCUGGAAGCAGGACUCCUAAUGGAGAGCUGCAGGUGGUUGUGGGUGUGAAGACCUUCUUAAACUCACCUUCUAGCAGCUGUGGUUGGUGGCGAUUGUGUAAAAACCAGACUCCUCCCAUUCCUCUGGAGCAUGCUCACAUCAAACAGAGAAGCACUUGUUUUUGAGGGUCCAUAUUCAAUCUCAGUAAAACAGUUUUAGAACCUGGGUUGUGUUCCCACCAUGCGCACCGUGGCUCACAGUGCCCUCUUCUGGCUUCUGUAUGCACGUGGUACAUAUAAAUCAGGCAGGCACACACAUACACAUACGCCUACAAAUAAAAUACUUGUAACUUUCUUAGGAAUAUUUAUGUAAACAGAAAUCCACCAAUGUGUUAAAACACCAUUCAUCGUGAUUAAGGGGGAUUUACCCAGAAUUGCAAGAUUGGUUCAGCAUCCCAUCAUAUUGAUACCAGAAAUCAAUAUUAUACAGUAGGCGCAGGAAAGCACUAGUAUUAAUCACCAGGCCUGGGGAAAUGACUGUGUUGGUAGUGUUUGCUGCAAAAGCAAGAAGUGGUGAGUUUAAUCGUAGCACCAUCAGUAAAGCCAGGUGUGCCUUGUACCCGGAAUCACACUCUAGGGAGGCAGAGACAGGAUGUGUCUGGGCUUGUUGGCCAGCUCGUCCAGUGUCGUCUGAAAACUACAGGUUCAGUGAGAGAAUCUGUGGGGCAUGAUUUAGGAAGACACCUGAUUGUAACCCCUCACCUCUGCAUACACGUGUACACACACACACACACACACAUACACGAUAACAAAAAUAUACUUAUCAAGCUGGAAAUAAAAGGAAAUACCUCAAAUAGCCAUACAUCACCUAUGAGAAUGGCGCAGUUAACAUCACACUUACCAGGGAGAGUCUGAAUAAAGCCCUCUCCUCCUGUUCCUGUCUAACAGUGUGCUGGAAAUUCUAGCUGUGGAAAUUUGAUAAUUUGAUAAGCAAGAAAUAAAGGAUCUACGUUGUGAGGGGCUGGGCUGGAGUGCGGCUGGCUUGGUAAGCCUCCCAUAGACGCAUGAGGACUUGAAUCUGAGUCCCUCUCAUCCACAUAAAUGCUGGGUGAGCUGGUGACUUGCCUGUAACCCUCCAGGCGUGGAGACAAGGGAUGCCUGAGAAAGCUUGCUAGCCAGUUUAGUCAAGUGUGUGAGCGGGUUCAGCUAGAGACUUACCUCAAUGUGUAAGUGGAGAGCAGUCAAGGACGACACAUGACAUCGGCCUCUGGUCUCCAUGCACACGGGCGCACACAACUCCCUCUCACAAAUGCACACGAUUCUUGAACCAAACAGUUGAGAUGCCCCAAUAUCAGUUAGAGAGAAACUGAUAAACAUCUCUUUCCCUUUGCCUUUCAACACGUCACGUGGUGCUUGUCUGCCGAGUAGCUGCACAGAUCGUUUGCUCUUUACCCAAACUUCUGCCUGUUUUCAUUCAGCAGUGUAGGAGUGGCAGCUGGGCUAUACAAUAAGCCAAGAGCUUCUUCCAGGUAUGUCAGUGCAGAUGCAGCUGUCUCCCGGUGACCCUGCUCUGGCCUGGGCUUUGCUUGUUUUGUUGAAGAAUAGCUUAAUGUUGGAAUAGCUUAAUGUUAGAAAUAAGAAUGUUAAUGUCUUAGUUCCGGGGUUUCCCUGUUUCCAUCUCCCAUCUCACACUAACAUUACUAGAUGUGUGAGUGCUCCUGCAACUGUCUUUAUGUGGGCACUGGGGAUUUGAACUCAUGUCUUUGUGGUUACACAGCAAGUCUUUACUCAGGGAACCUUGUCCCCAGACCCUAAAGCUGUUAUAAGAUUUGUUCAUCUUAUUGUUCAUGUGUAAUAUAAAUAGUGUUAUUCAGAAAUUCAUGAUCCUAGAAUUCAAAGUAUCUUCCCUUAUUAACUCAGUCUACUAUAAUUCAGUUCAAUUCCACAGGCAGGAAUUUAUCUUGUGUACUGUUUUUUCAGAUGAACCUUUCCACUGUAACUCAGUUCAGUCCCACUGGUAUGGGGGAGAGUGGAAACAUGAGACAGGUGACUGGAUUGGAGUCCCCGUCCUCUAGGAAUCUGUAGUAAAAUGGGAAAUGCUUGAAAAGCCCUAGCCAGGGAGAAGAGUCUAUCAUAGGUGGGAUUUGGGAACAAAGAGAAAGGUUUAUUGUGACCUGGGCAUAUUAGGGAAGCCAGCUUUAGCAGUAGAUAGUACUGGACAGUGCCAUUGUCCCUUAGUGCUUAUGGGGACUGGGUUCCAGCUCACAUUAGCUGCCAAGGACCAUGCAGGAGAAACGACAAACAGCUUCAGAACUCAUGGAAUGCAGCCCACCAGUUAGCACAAGAUGGGUAUGCCUUGGACGGGCAUGGCCCCAGGACUACCUGUUCUGAGGACUUCAUGCUGUUGUGGAGUUCUGCUCUGCUUGCUGCCCUCACAUCCCUCUUAAUCUAAGAACUGUAUGAAAACUCUAGGGGGCCUCCAGGCCCUCAGUGGGCAGUGUCUCUGGCACUCAUAGUAAAGGGCUUGAUCUCGUUCAGGCAUUGCUGCUGGAGCAAUUAAUGAUUCAGUCACCACCCUAGGAAAGAACUUAGAGAUGUAGAUUGUCAGCAGCGACCACCACCCUUAGAAAACAGUUGGAAAAAUACAAUUGUUAGUGAAGCUAGGUUGAGCUGUUUUUGCUACUAGUUCUGAUGUCUUAGGGAACACUUUGAAGUACAGAAAGGCACUCUUAUUAGCUAAGCCAGGGUCAGGGAACAAAAACAAGGGCAACACUGGCUGACGUGACUCUCACUGAGGCUGGACUGGGGAUGAUUGAUUUCUUAUACCCACUUUUGCCCUCAUCUUCCUGAUACGAUUUAAUAAGAAUUGUUGAUGAGUAGAUGUGCAUUCUGAGGUGUAAAGUAGAUAUGACUGAUUUUUAUACAAAAGUUCAGAUUUGUGAUUCUCUUAAGAUUCUUAAAGAUAAAUAAUUAUUAAUCCUUACUUUGUAACUGCAAAUUGCUGCCUGCCAGUAAGAGAAACUGGCUGAGUAAACUCCCUUGCUGGCUUACACUUUGUUAAUCUAUAACAAGUUGCUUCAUUACAAAUACAUGUGGAUUCUUGGGAAUAAUUUGGUUUUUUCACCUGUACUGUGUAAUGUUAUUUCUUGUACAGGUAUUGGGGACUAUACUGUUUUUUUCAUGGUCGUCCUCUAGAAGAAAACUAGAAUGUAAUCACAUUGUAGUUUUUUAACUGCUUAAAAGAUUUUGCUGGGAUGUAUAAGCCAUGGGAGAAAGAGUAAAGUUGUUGGAACAUUGUUCCUUCCAUCUAUCAACUAUGUGUAUGUAUGUAUCUAUGUAAAGUUUGUGUGUGCGUAUGCUGGAACUUUGUUCCUUCCAAAUAUGUAUGCAUGUAUGUAUGUAUGUAUUAUGUAAAUAUGUAUAUGUGUAUAUGUGUAUAUAUAUGUAAAGUUUGUGUGAGAGUGUGUUGGAACUUUGUUCCAUCCAUCAAGUAUGUAUGUAUGUAUGUAUAUAAUGUAAAGCUUGUCUGGGUGUGUGUGUGUGUGUGAGAAAUGUUUGGAGCCUGCUUGUUGGAACUUUGUUCCAUUCAUCCACCAGGUAUAUAUGUAUAUGUACAUGUGUUUGUGUGAAAUGCCUGGAGUCUGCUCGCUGGAGCUUUGCUCCAUCCAUUCUAUGUAUGAAUAUGUAUAUGUCUGUCUGUAUGCAUGUGUUUAUUUGUAUGUAUGAAGUUAUUGGCGCUUUCCUUUUGCUUCAUUUACUCGGUGUGCAUGUAUGUGUGUGUGUGAAUUUUCUUUCCUUUUCUUUCUCGCUGGCCCCAAGGAGUUAAAAGAGCUCAGAGUCUCUCACUGGCCAGAGGGAGUGCCAGCCCCAGGAAAUUAAGCUUUCUUCCUCAGAAAAGAGAAUGCUGAGUAAUUUAUCUAAUCACUGGCUGCCAUAGGCAACAACAGCCCCAUCAGUACCUGGACCAACUCCCCAUUAUGGCUCUAAGUACUGACCUCCAUCAGCUGCUGCCUCAGUUUACCCACCUCGUGGAUGCCAAAGCUGAUUCUUGGUAAUUAACACAUUCCAGAUACCAAUUUAAGGGAUUUGCAGUCCAGUGAACACCAUCACCCAAUUCUGAGAUGGAAGGCUCCAACUCUUUAAGGGGAAAUGUAAAGGGAUUGAAGCAGUGAAAUGCAAGAAACAUCUAAUGUGACCAACCCUCUGUGGUGAACUGCUGUGAAAGGCAAAAACCACUAACACCCUUGAAAGCUGAAGGGCCAGAAGCAGACCCUCAGCCAGGCUUGGGACGGUGGGAUGUCAGCACUAAAGUUGGCUCUUUGUUAAGUUGAAUUUUAAAUUAGUGUCAUGCCACGCAGGCAGCCAUAUUUAACCCAAUAAAACCAGCAAACAGCCUAUUAAGUGAACGUUUCCUGGCGCUUGGUUU